rnacentral:rRNA from 1 species
GGAACCACCUGAUCCCAUCCCGAACUCAGAAGUGAAACCUGCCUGCGCCGAUGGUACUUUGUCUUAAGGCACGGGAGAGUAGGUCACCGCCGGGC